UGGGGGAAUAUUGGGCAAUGGGCGAAAGCCUGACCCAGCAACGCCGCGUGAAGGAAGAAGGUCUUCGGAUUGUAAACUUCUUUUAUCAGGGACGAAGGAAGUGACGGUACCUGAUGAAUAAGCCACGGCUAACUACGUGCCAGCAGCCGCGGUAAUACGUAGGUGGCAAGCGUUAUCCAGAUUUACUGGGUGUAAAGGGCGCGUAGGCGGGGAUACAAGUCAGAUGUGAAGUCUCCGGGCUUAACCCGGAAACUGCAUUUGAAACUGUUGCCCUUGAGUAUCGGAGAGGCAGGCGGAAUUCCUAGUGUAGCGGUGAAAUGCGUAGAUAUUAGGAAGAACACCAGUGGCGAAGGCGGCCUGCUGGACGACAACUGACGCUGAGGCGCGAAAGCGUGGGGAGCAAACAGGAUUAGAUACCCUGGUAGU
rnacentral:rRNA from 1 species